GCGGCAGGCCUAACACAUGCAAGUCGAGCGGCAGCGGGAAAGUAGCUUGCUACUUUUGCCGGAGAGCGGCGGACGGGUGAGUAAUGCCUGGGAAAUUGCCCAGUCGAGGGGGAUAACAGUUGGAAACGACUGCUAAUACCGCAUACGCCCUACGGGGGAAAGCAGGGGACCUUCGGGCCUUGCGCGAUUGGAUAUGCCCAGGUGGGAUUAGCUAGUUGGUGAGGUAAUGGCUCACCAAGGCGACGAUCCCUAGCUGGUCUGAGAGGAUGAUCAGCCACACUGGAACUGAGACACGGUCCAGACUCCUACGGGAGGCAGCAGUGGGGAAUAUUGCACAAUGGGGGAAACCCUGAUGCAGCCAUGCCGCGUGUGUGAAGAAGGCCUUCGGGUUGUAAAGCACUUUCAGCGAGGAGGAAAGGUCAGUAGCUAAUAUCUGCUGACUGUGACGUUACUCGCAGAAGAAGCACCGGCUA
rnacentral:rRNA from 1 species